GCACGAUCUAGGCAGCCUGCAUUCUGCUUCAAAAUCAUCUACUUAUGUCCCCCAACCCAAAUUUGCCUGCGUCCCCUAUCGCAAGCUAUUCCGUCCUUCUGAAACGCGUUACCCGCGCUAUCUUGCGACCGCUACCGGGACGGAUCGAAUGCGACCGCGUGACAUAAGUUACUCCCCCACUGAAUUUGGCGACGUACUCAUCGCCUUGUACCGCCGAAGCUUAGACCUUAAUUGCCAUAAGUCUAUCUCAUUUUCCCACCUUGUGCCAUGAC
rnacentral:lncRNA from 1 species